rnacentral:rRNA from 1 species
AACGAACGCUGGCGGCAUGCCUAACACAUGCAAGUCGAACGAGACCUUCGGGUCUAGUGGCGCACGGGUGCGUAACGCGUGGGAACCUGCCUUUAGGUUCGGAAUAACUCAGAGAAAUUUGAGCUAAUACCGGAUAAUGUCUUCGGACCAAAGAUUUAUCGCCUUUAGAUGGGCCCGCGUUGGAUUAGCUAGUUGGUGGGGUAAAGCCUACCAAGGCGACGAUCCAUAGCUGGUCUGAGAGGAUGAUCAGCCACACUGGGACUGAGACACGGCCCAGACUCCUACGGGAGGCAGCAGUGGGAAUAUGGACAAUGGGCGAAAGCCUGAUCCAGC